AUUGAACGCUGGCGGCAGGCCUAACACAUGCAAGUCGAGCGGAUGAAGGGAGCUUGCUCCUGGAUUCAGCUGCGGACGGGUGAGUAAUGCCUAGGAAUCUGCCUGGUAGUGGGGGAUAACGUCCGGAAACGGGCGCUAAUACCGCAUACGUCCUGAGGUAGAAAGGGGGGGAUCUUCGGACCUCACGCUAUCAGAUGAGCCUAGGUCGGAUUAGCUAGUUGGUGGGGUAAAGGCCUACCAAGGCGACGAUCCGUAACUGGUCUGAGAGGAUGAUCAGUCACACUGGAACUGAGACACGGUCCAGACUCCUACGGGAGGAAGCAGUGGGGAAUAUUGGACGAGGGGCGAAAGCCUGAUCCAGCAAUGCCGCGUGUGUGAAGAAGGUCUUAGGAUUGGAAAGCAAUUUAAGUUGGGAGGAAGGGCAGUAAGUUAAUACCUUGCUGUUUUGACGUUACCAACAGAAUAAGCACCGGCUAACUUCGUG
rnacentral:rRNA from 1 species